CUAGUCCUUGUCAUGGGUGAGCGUGAACACUCAAUGAGCGUGUAGCGAGAGUGGUCCUGCUGACACAUAUAAACACAUACGCAUCGCCUUCCCACUCCAGUGUGAAGGUCAGGGUGCAAUUUUUGGAAAC